UACAGAGGGUGCGAGCGUUACUCGGAGUUACUGGGCGUAAAGGGCGCGUAGGCGGUUCUAUAAGUGAGCUGUGAAAUCCCUGGGCUUAACCUAGGAACGGCAGCUUAAACUGUAUGACUGGAGUAUGGUAGAGGACAGUGGAAUUUCCGGUGUAGCGAUGAAAUGCGUAGAUAUCGGAAGGAACACCAGUGGCGAAGGCGACUGUCUGGACUGAUACUGACGCUGAGGCGCGAAAGCGUGGGGAGCAAACAGG
rnacentral:rRNA from 1 species